rnacentral:rRNA from 1 species
GACGAACGCUGGCGGCGUGCCUAAUACAUGCAAGUAGAACGCUGAAGGAGGAGCUUGCUUCUCCGGAUGAGUUGCGAACGGGUGAGUAACGCGUAGGUAACCUGCCUGGUAGCGGGGGAUAACUAUUGGAAACGAUAGCUAAUACCGCAUAAGAGUAGAUGUUGCAUGACAUUUGCUUAAAAGGUGCAAUUGCAUCACUACCAGAUGGACCUGCGUUGUAUUAGCUAGUUGGUGGGGUAACGGCUCACCAAGGCGACGAUACAUAGCCGACCUGAGAGGGUGAUCGGCCACACUGGGACUGAGACACGGCCCAGACUCCUACGGGAGGCAGCAGUAGGGAAUCUUCGGCAAUGGACGGAAGUCUGACCGAGCAACGCCGCGUGAGUGAAGAAGGUUUUCGGAUCGUAAAGCUCUGUUGUAAGAGAAGAACGAGUGUGAGAGUGGAAAGUUCACACUGUGACGGUAUCUUACCAGAAAGGGACGGCUAACUACGUGCCAGCAGCCGCGGUAAUACGUAGGUCCCGAGCGUUGUCCGGAUUUAUUGGGCGUAAAGCGAGCGCAGGCGGUUAGAUAAGUUUGAAGUUAAAGGCUGUGGCUUAACCAUAGUACGCUUUGGAAACUGUUUAACUUGAGUGCAAGAGGGGAGAGUGGAAUUCCAUGUGUAGCGGUGAAAUGCGUAGAUAUAUGGAGGAACACCGGUGGCGAAAGCGGCUCUCUGGCUUGUAACUGACGCUGAGGCUCGAAAGCGUGGGGAGCAAACAGG